ACGGUCCUACAGGAGGUCACAGCGUCAUGACACGGUUCCAGUUUCCCCAGGUGUACCUGCGACUCCAGGCUGAGCAAGGGGAGGUGAAAUCUGACUCUUGGCAAAGCCCAGCCCCUGCAUGGCUUUCUUUCUUCCCAGAAUCGCUGUGACUCUCCUUUGAAAGAUGCUUCAGCUCACCCCGGAUGUUCCCUGCCAUCUCCCCUCCCGGAUGCCGGUGCGGCUGGCAGGCAGAUCAAUUGGUCCAGCAGCUCUGCCAUCCAAGACACAGAGCUGGGCUGACAUCUCCCAGAGAGGCCCAGAGAUUCAAGUCUGGGCACCUGGGUCUCUGUUCAGCGCCGAGCAACAGGCAGGCACCAGGCUCGCUGUCAGCUGAGCAGUGAAAAGGGACAAGCUGCUGUGUCAAAAGUGACACGUCGGCUUCUGCUGGUCUUGCAAAGAUAUCGGCAGUGAUGUGACUGUGGGCUGACAAAGGCAACAGAAGUGGCUGCUUUCUGGGCUGGAUUGAAAUUCAUCAGCUCCCUGUGUUCACGGCGAUGAUUUCCAAUGCUAAUUCUCAGCGAGCCAGGCAUGAAAUAUAUUCACGGGCGCUGCUUGUGAGGGCCCUUUGGAGUUAUUUGAGGAGGCUGGAUGCUGCCUGAACAGGAGAUGUGGGGGAGAAGAGGGGCGACAUUCAUCUCCCAUAGCUGCAGCACGCCGAUCAUGCAGAUGAGGUUGUCUAAAAGCUUCCCCUGUCCCAUGGAGUGCCUUGGGGUCCCCGAGCCAUUCUCUCCUGACAGGACAAACGCAGAUCUCUGCAUUUGUCCUUUCCUCAAAAAAAUGUUCAGUGCUCACCACGGACCCAGCCAUGACCAGAGAUGUGAGAUCCAGAAACUCGACCAAGGCCACACAAGGAGGCAGAGACGAGCCUAGAAC